GAGCCCGUGGCUCAAUGGUAGAGCGUUCGACUCAAAUACCAAAGGUCGCGGGUUCGAAUCCCAGGUUUG
rnacentral:tRNA from 1 species